GCUGGGCUCGGUGGCACGUGCCUGUAAUCCCAGCUACUCGGGAGGCUGAGGCAGGAGAAUUGCUUGAGCCCAGGAGGCGGAGGUUGCAGUGGGCUGAGGUUGCACCAUUGUACUCCAGCCUGGGCAACAGAGCAAGACUCUGUCUCAA
rfam:Gorilla gorilla gorilla genomic chromosome, chr7, whole genome shotgun sequence